rnacentral:rRNA from 1 species
AUUGAACGCUGGCGGUAGGCCUAACACAUGCAAGUCGAGCGGAGCGGCGGACGGGUGAGUAAUGCCUAGGAAUCUGCCUGGUAGUGGGGGAUACAGUACGGAAACGGGAGCUAAUACCGCAUACUAUCAGAUGAGCCUAGGUCGGAGUAGCUAGCUGGUUGGGUAAAGGCCUACCAAGGCGACGUUUCGUUACUGGGCUGAGAGGAUGAUCAGUCACACUGGAACUGAGACACGGUCCAGACGCCUACGGGAGGCAGCAGUGGGGAAGAUUGGAAAAUGGGCGAAAGCCUGAUCCAGCCAUGCCGCGUGUGUGAAGAAGGUCUUCGGAUUGUAAAGCACUUUAAGUUGGGAGGCGUUACCAACAGAAUAAGCACCGGCUAACUCCGUGCCAGCAGCCGCGGUAAUAC